GGUCCUGGCCACACCUCCUCCCCCCUACAGCAAAAAUUAUCCCUGUCCUGGCCAGAACCAGGAAAAUAUAAAUGAAAUUCAGUUUGGACACAGAAAAAGGCACUAGUUGCCCAUCUUGCAUUACUACAGCUUUUUGAAAUUCCUUUUGACAAAACACUGUUGUCCAUUUUUAAGAGCAUCCCAUAAAAGAUGCCUGAAGUACUAAAACAAAACCUUGUAUUCGUCUCGGUAACUGUACAGGAUAAGUGCAGGAACCCUGCAGAGGGAAGGAAAAAAAGGAAAUUUUAAAACUUUGAAACUGCAGGUUCAAAAGUUACAAAUUUGUGUGACAAAUCAUCUUAAUAAGAUAAUAGCAAAGAUUGAGUAGAAAAAAAUCAGUGAGUCUUUGUUAGGCUGUCACUGCAAUUUUCCCCUUCAUCCUUUUUCAAUUGAUCUAGCCUGUUCAGUUUUCAUUCAGUGAUCUGAAGGCUUAUGACUAAGCAGUGCUCAGGCAUCAAAUGGGAAAGUAAGACUUCAGGGACUGAAUUACAUUCAUACCCAACGCUGUAUGGAAUAUUAUUUGUAUGUAAUAAUUGAGUUCUGUUGCUCCCAGCCCUGGAAGCCCCAGGGAGAAAAAAAAAAAUGCUUCACUUGCUCUUUAGUUGCCAUAGUAAAUGUUAGCAUACAUGAAGGAUUUUGGUGCAUCUAAGAAAAAGGAACCAAAUUCAGGUUUUAGUCUUAUUUGAAGGUGAAACAUAGGUUUAAGAAAAUGCAUAAAUACCCAGGUCUCGCUCACUUAACUGUACCAGUACAUACAACAGUUGACAAUUUGAGGUUUAAAACUGGAUGUACUGGAUGGGUCCAGAUUAUCUGGACUAUCUGGGUUUCAGCCUUGCCAGAAUCCAACAAGGAGACUAUGAGUUGAACAUAUAUGCUUUUAUGCUUAGAAAAUAGAAAUGGGCUUUACUGUACAUGUUUGCUUGAAGCUGGACACUCUUAGCUGUGCCUAACUGCCAUUGUAUUAUUUCAAAGCAGGAGGAAUUAAAUGUGGUCAUGAGUUUUAAAAGGCAAGCUGAGUCCGCUUCAUCAGAAAAGAGGGUUUAUUAUGUAGCAGUAAAUAUGUGUGUAUGUAUGUGUAUAUAUAUAUACAUGCAUAUAUGUAUACCAUCAUAUACAUACACUAUAUUUACAAAGAAGUAUAUCUACUAUGUAUAACAAUAUAUCUGACUGCAUUAAGUUUGCUAUUAAGUUUUAUUAACACAGCAGCAAGUGUGAUAGAAGUGGUAAUACAUUUUAGAGUUUCUUGAAAGGGCUUAUAAAAAUGAAGAAUUUACCAGUAUGUGAGGGUUAGAUGACCACUAAACUUUUCCCAUACUUUUCAAGGAACUAUACUGAGUAUUUAUUUUUGCCUCAGGGAGAGUGGAAAAAGGAGGACAAAGUAGGAGCAGUCUGAAUGCAGAAAUAAGGUGGUUUUAUGUACCUGUCCGUAAGAGCUUAACAAAUUUACCUCUUUUCCAUUUUGAUACUGUAAAUUUCAUCACAAAUUGCUUGUAAGUAUGAACAUCUCUGUUUGGGCCAUCGUGACAUCAGCUGUCUCACAGUAGCAUCAAAGGCUUGUCUAUCUCCAUCAAGCUAAGAAAAAAAAUUGACAAGGAACUUGUCUUACAUUCUCUUGUGAAGGAACUUCACCGGAUAGCAUGCAGUCUUCUCAAUAUUGUGUAAUGUCAAUGCUCCUUAAUUAAACAGCUUUCAAAGAAUAUGAAUACCAACAACACCUGCAACUUUAUUAAGAAUUUAGGGAUCAGUUUCUUAACAAAUUUUAGUGCUAAAAAGGCAUAAGCAAUGAAAACGGCUCUAUCAAUUUUGCAGUGCUGGACAGAAUAUAAUAACUGCGACGUAACGGUGAUCAAAAGCGAAUGAUGCAAGCUAAUAGUGUGCACAUAUAUUUAAUUUUUUUUUUUUAACUGAAAGCUGAUAAACUAUCUCCAUGAUUUGGGCAGACUGGAUGAACUAAAUAUUUUGAAGAUGUCUUGAAAUGUUUCACUGGGUUUUGAUUACCAGACAAGGACUGCUUCAGGGCAGCAAAUGAAAGGUCUGAAAAUACUAAAUGCACUUCCAGGAUGCCAUUCUUGAGGUUUUUUUCCAGGGGUUGGGAAGGCAUCCAUCUCCCUAGUAAGAGCUUCUGACUUUAAACAUAGUGAGUGCUGUCACUGGAGGAAAGAAUGUUGUCAUCCCCCCUUAUCCACCACCGAGCAGUUUCCAAGUUGUUAAAGGCUAGAAAUGAAUGUCUGAAGUCUUGUUUGCACCUGGGAACAAAAGAUUGGCAAAAUUAAAAUACACUGCUUGUGUGA